CGGAAGUGGAAUUUAGUAACUAUCUGAAGGAGCUGAAAUGGCGUAGCUCGUCUGUGUGAGCGACGGCCACUGGGCCCGAAUAAAGCGGACAAACCUGGCCAUGAACCGCGCAGAAAUGGAGUUUAACCCGUGUCCUUUAUCAUCACGCUGAAAAAGCAGCGAAGAAGAGCCGCGAACUCGUCCUUCUCCCUGCUAAGACAAAGAAUUCAACAUGCAUGAGUGUAAGACUACAGAAGAAGCGUUAACAGAUGAGAAGUGGGUCAGCAGCAUGCUGAAGCCUGUCCUGCGCUCACUUCCUUCAGAUCUGCUGAACAUCACGCCCGGGUAGCGUUUCACGCACCAUCCAUCCAUCCGUCCGUCCGUCGAGAAGGAUGACAUCAUCAGUGGAGUCGAGGCUGCUUUUAUUUCCUCUUUCUUCAUCCACUCAAGUUUUAAUCUAGUUUUUUCCCCCCUUUUUCAUCCCAGGAGAACGAUGAAUUGUUUACUUCACUUCUUUUUUCUUUUUUUUCUCUUCAAACUGUAUCCAGUCAGCUCUAUAUUUAAAUACAUCAUGAUAGUGCUCGCUGCUGUGGUAUUCAAAUCAUUUAGUUUUAUUUGUAUAUCGCUUAUAACAGUACAUAUUGUCAAAAAAACAGCUUUACCUAGAUCAAAUCAUUCACACGGUCACAUACAAAGUCACGCAGCAUCAGAAAAAAUUAAUAUAUGGACUUUUUCCUCAAAGCUUACAGAAUUGAACAGGAGUGACAUAUAGUCCAGAAAAUGCGGUAAUCGUAGAAGCUUUCAGGUUACAUUUAAGGAACGUUUAAGUCGUUGUUUGCGUGUUAAAGAUUUUAUGCAGCGGCUCAUUGCAGUGAUGGAGUUCUGACUCACUCAGCGUUGAAAUCGUGCCACGUCGUUGUUCAGUCGUUGGCUGUGUUUACGUGCAAAGAUUUUCCCCAAAUCCGAAUGGAUUCGCUCCGAUUAUUCCAUUUAUAUACCGUAACAAAGUGUGAGUUCAGUCAGCGUGUUCAGCUUUUUAAUCCUGCUGCUCAUGGUGUUAACGAGCUUUAAAUUCUUUCCCUCUCAGCAAAACAUCAUCUGAGUGCGAUUAUUAAACGGAAAACAGUGAGAAGAAGAGUUUGUGAGCAUUUCAUAUUUGCCCGAGAUUCAGGAGCUCUAGUUGUUGAAAAUAACAAAAUGCACAAAUUAUUCAUCGGAUUAAUGCCUUCAGUCAUCUUCUAAUGUAAUCCUUUAUCAAAGAUGAUUGUUUUUAGGAAUAACUACACAAGAAAUAUAGGUUUUUAUCAAAGUUUUACCCUAAAUUUGGAUAGAAAUUUCACUCCGAUUGGCCUCAGUUGGUUUACUCUGUUCUAACUGAGCUCUCAGUCGGAUUAUUAACAGAUUAUCAGGCUGCAUGUAAACGUAGCCAUUUAUAUCAUAUGAUGGAAAAGUUCAAUCACAUACAUUUAUUUACAUUUAUUACAUUUACUUUUUUCCCCAAGGAGGUUGGAAGGUGUGUGUGUGUGUGUGUGUGUGUGUGGUACUUCGCAUGUUUGACCUGAAGUGAUGAAAACCUAGGUUGAAUUAAAUUAAAAUUUCCCAAAAGCACUGUAACACAAUGAUUGUUAAAUGGUAGAGCGAGUAUCACAGUGAACUCACUCUCUCUCUCUCUCACUCUCUCUCUAUCUCUCUCUCUCUCUCUCUGUGUGUGUGUCAUGAUCUUAACAUUACAGUGCUUUUAGGAAACCAUAUCCAUGCGGUUUGAACGUGAAUGGCGUCUGCGGACGUGGGAUAUGUGCAAUACGGAUGUCCGUUCCUUUUUUUGUGUCCUGUUUCGAGAUAAACGUGUAUAUUGUACAAACAAGUGACGAGUUGUUCGUGCGACAAACAACAAAAUCACCAAUGUCUUCCAUUAAAUGAUGUAUAGUUUCAUCCGCUUGUUUGGUAGCGGGAUCUGUCGUGCCAAUGUUAUAUGUGGCCAUGCAUGAGCGGACUCGAUGCUUGCAGAGUAGUUGUAGUGAAAUACUGUAUAUUAACUUUAACGCAUAUUAGCUAAUAGUUCAGCAGGUGACGGUUAGGCUAAUUAGCACUGUGUAGCUUUGAGAAUAGUGAGCUUUGGAGAAAAUCCAUUUUUUUGUGUUUAUUGUCUUUCAAUCUUUAGAUAAACAAGUCUAAUCUUAUCAUUUUCUUCUGAUCACUUUCCUGAAAAACAAAGAACUAGCAAAAGUGUUACUUGUAUUAGGUGUUGUUUUUUAAAAAAAAGUUGCUAGUUUUCUUUUUUUUUUUUUUCCCUCAACCUUAUAUUUUUUGAUCUGUUAAUAAAAAAAACAAGUCUCUGGAUUUAUAUUUAAGGUAAAAUCAGAGCCUAAAGGGGACAAAUCACACCUUCAACCAUUUUUAUGAUCAUAUAAACUUGUUCUCGUUGUUAAUUUUUGCUAGCUAGCAUAGAACAACCUGACUAGCGACUAGCUAACUAGGUUGUAUCCGUUCUCAUGGUUGUAAAUUAGGAAAAACAUUAAUAAAUACAGGAAUUUAAAAAAAAAAAAAGCUCUAGUCUAGAGUGGCUUGAAGGUAGCAUUGUCUCUCCUACACGGUUAUGGAUGCAUCAGAGAGUUAGCUUAGCUAGCUUUAAUGUAGCAUACAUUAUAGAUUUUAGUUAACGUGUAGUUUAGUCAGCUAGCAUCUAUAGCCGAUCAAAAUACGGUGAUGUAGAUAGUUAAAUACCUCAAUGACUGGAAUGCAAAGUCUAUUUUUUAGAUUCCAUUGACAAAUAUGCAAGCCAUACUGCGCAUUAUGUUAGAUAUUUAAUGUGAGGUUCGAUCCGUGCCAAACGUAUGUCGACGUCGCGUUGUUUAGUCGGUGUGUUUACUCAGUCGUAUGUACCGUGUCGCUCUUCAUUUCAACCAGAGGUGGAGCAAGAGGACAAAAGAACCCAGUUAUGUGCAAUGUCUCUGUAUAAGCUCGAUAGAAAGCGAUAAGAUUUGCUAGAAUGAUUCCUCGGACCAAACCUAUGGCUUGUGUGUGCGGUCCGAAGUUUCUUCAGUUCCCUGCUGACAGCUUUAGUGCUCAUUUAAGCGCUCGCUCGCUGCACACGUAAAAGAUACAAACUUUUACGCGACACCUAACUGCUGCUAGCCGCAACACGCAGCUGAACAUAUCCAGCCGACAGCGACUUGCUGACUUUCUGUCGAGGGCGCAAACACAACGUCCUACACGAUCACAUGCUCGCUUGUGUUUUAAUGCACUCAAUUAACUAAGUAGCUCGCUGUAUAUGUUAUUAGCAUACAUGACAUUAGCUACAACUUUUUAACUUGUGUUAAAGCAUGGGACUGAGCAGCACACUGGAGCUUUUGCUUAAACGAAUUUAUGACUUGUGCACCCCUGUUACCAGGAUAUAGUAUUACUAACAUGAUUAGGCUUAGCUAGUUGUAGUAACUGUUUUACGAUUUGACUGCAGUGACUCGGAACAGAAAGCCCCACAGUCCCAUUAAAAGGGGCGUGGCCUAUGUUGCGUCAUUGUGCCUCUUAUUAAAGCAUAUUAUGCUGACCAAAAUCAUAUCAUAUUGAACCUUAUUCAUGGCUUCUUGUCGGAAGGAAAAGGACAACUGAGAGAAUGACAAAAGCUACGCACUUUUGAACUUAAUGCUUUGUGUUCUGUUCAAGUCAAAAUGACCUGAAACAUACUAAAAAUACUUUCUGAGCUUAGCUCAUUGACUUUAUCGAACUUUAACAGGAACAUGUUUACUUUUUGAUGCAUCUGCUAACCCUUCCCCAUUAUAUUUAUAUUACACCGGUGAGGGGCCGCAUAUUUUUGGCACGGAUAGAGCCUCAUCAUUUAGAAGCAAUAACCUUAUUAUGCAUGAACUCUAUAGUGCCAGAAUGGUGUUUUGUGGAAUGACCUGUAGCAUAUUUCUAGCCGUGGUGUGUGUUAAGGCAUCGGUGGCUGUUUGUUUCUAAAGCAUACUGGAACCUCUGAUUUCCAGUAGGCCAAAACGAGCUCAUGUGUUCAUUAAAAACCAAAAACGUUGCACAGGAACGUCGUCAUGAGAGCUAAAAAACCUGGUGGAGGGAAAAAAAUGGCUGAGAAAGUUCUUCUUUAUGCACAUUGCAUGAUUUCUAUCACUACAUCAGGAGAAAACGCACAGAUCUGGAUUAUGCAGUCGGAAAGCAAUAGGAGCGAAGUUACGGUGACGCGGACGGUUUCUUUCAGACACUACAGUACACUCUUAACACACACUGAACAUCGUUUUGCCAGUGAGCCUGUCGGUGUUUCUGUAUGGGAAUGUGGGGGGAAUAAAUUAGCUACUGCAUGGUAGAAGUGGGUACCACAUGUGUUGUGCUGCAUGCAAUAAUUAAGCUUUGCUUGGAGAAAUUGUAAUGCAAAAAUGUGAAGAAUGUGAAGUCAAGCCAGUGGACUGAUGGACGUAUCUGAUUUUCCCUCAGUUCAGUUGAAAAAAGUGAUAUAUUUACAUUAUAUAUAUAUAUAUAUAUAUAUAUAUAUAUAUAUAUAUAUAUAUAUAUAUAUACAUACACACAAUCAUCUCACUUGCAUUAUUAUAACCCAUUCUGUAUGUAACCUUUAGUAUUUUUAUUUUUAAAUACAUCUAGUCAAGAGGGAAAAGUCGCUGUAUUAUCUGUCUAACCCCUGACACGAUGAUGUGAAUGAUAUUAGAGAAGGUGGCGAUUAAUAAUCAAAUUAAAUCAACCAUAUAGGCUUCUUGCGAUAGUCAGGUAUCAAAUUGAUGGAAAUAAAAGCAAAUUAAUAUUUUCUGACCCGUACAAAAAUGAUCACUUUGCCUUCCAUUAUUAUAUUUAUGUAUAAAAUCCAAAUAUAAAAUCAAAAUGCUCUAAUUUUACACGCAGGGCAAAGCUCAAUGCCGAUUGGUUGCCCGGUAUUCUCUAACGACCAAUCAGCACGUUAUUUUAAGCGUUGAAACAGAUCACAUGAUGACCACGACAAUAGACGCAGGAUCUUGAAAGGGUUAAAAUGUUAUUUCCAACUGAAAUCUAAUCCCCUGACUGCCAUGUCAUGAUUUUUAAAAAGUUGCCGUUAAGGGUUAAUAUUGUUUUCUGCUCCAUGAUGUUGUAAAUUGUAUUUUUUUUUUGUUUGUCACAGGAUGGGAACACUGUACAGUAUGUUUGGUUAAAUCUAUGCACUACAGAUGCGCUAAGCAUGCUAAGAUAAACCUCUUGAUUUUGUACAAUUAAAAAAAAUCUGUAUAAGAAAUUUAGCAAUAAAAACAGCAUGGUGCCAAUCUUA